GCGUAUCUUCCCAGUUUUUCUUCUUUUUGCCUUUGAGGCCAGAAAUCGCUCCCGCUAGCUCAAGAUCCGCUCCUCUUCCAGCCUCUUUCUGUCAAUCCUGCCCGUACCCCCUAUUUUGCAUUUGUAUCCCCUCCCCCAAGUCCGCUCCGAUCCAAUCCGGAGCCUCGACUCUGCCCCCGGACUCCCGACCAAAUCCGUUCCUCAGCUCAGGGAAGCAGCUCUGCACUCUGCACGUCCCUUCCCAGUUGGGCAACCAAUCAGUGGUACCUGCCCCACCCCUUUGGGCUUGGCUCCUCUCACGUCGCCAAUCCGCGCCUUUUGUCCCGCCCCCUGCCCGCGAGUCCGCCAAUCCCACCUUUCGGAAAGCGUGGCCUGGUAUCCCGCAGCCGGAGCGGGUGGCGCCGGAGGGGGGCGGAGGCGGAAGUGGCGGUGCCGGGCCCGGGGAGUAGGAAGGAGCCGGGGCUGUAGCCGGAGUGGAGCGGCUGCCAGCCGAGGAGCAGGCGCGGCCGCGGCGCCAUAUUGCGGCCCUCAGCGGUCGCGACCGAGUCAUGGCCGAGACCUACGACUUCCUCUUCAAAUUCCUGGUGAUCGGCAGUGCAGGAACUGGCAAAUCAUGUCUCCUUCAUCAGUUCAUUGAGAAUAAGUUCAAACAGGACUCCAACCACACGAUCGGCGUGGAGUUCGGAUCCCGGGUGGUCAACGUGGGUGGGAAGACUGUGAAGCUACAGAUUUGGGACACGGCUGGCCAGGAGCGGUUUCGGUCAGUGACGCGGAGUUAUUACCGAGGGGCAGCUGGAGCCCUGCUGGUAUACGACAUCACCAGCCGGGAGACGUACAACUCACUGGCUGCCUGGCUGACGGAUGCCCGCACGCUGGCCAGCCCCAACAUUGUGGUCAUCCUCUGUGGCAACAAGAAGGACCUGGACCCUGAGCGGGAGGUCACUUUCCUGGAGGCCUCUCGCUUUGCCCAGGAGAAUGAGCUGAUGUUCCUGGAGACCAGCGCUCUCACGGGCGAGAACGUGGAGGAGGCGUUUCUCAAGUGUGCCCGCACCAUCCUCAACAAGAUUGACUCAGGCGAGCUGGACCCUGAGAGGAUGGGCUCUGGCAUUCAGUACGGGGAUGCAUCUCUCCGCCAGCUCCGGCAGCCUCGGAGCGCCCAGGCCGUGGCCCCUCAGCCGUGUGGCUGCUGAGCCCUGUGGAGCCAGAACCUUCCAUGGCUCUCCCGGUCCCAGGACACAGCUGAAGCUCCUCAGCCUGGUGUUGGACCCUCUGCAGGGACUGGCCCCUGCCAGCCCAGCCUCACCUGCCUCAGCCCCUUGUACUGCUCCCUAGGUCUCAGGCCGCUCCAGUAGCACUGGAGUUCUUCCCAUUCCCCUGGGCCCUUGCUCAUGCUGGGCCGUUCCUCCCCUUUUUCCCUGGCAACCUCCUUCCCUCCUCCAGGAAGCACUACCUCUUCCUCCACGCUUGGUCCAAACUUCUUGUUUUUGAGAUAGAGUCUCGCUCUGUCACCUAGGUUGGAGUGCAGUGGUACGAUCUCAGCUCACUGCAACCUCCGCUUCUGGGUUCCAGCGAUUCUGGUGCCUCAGCCUCCUGAGUAACUGGGACCGUGGGCGCGGGCCCCCGACGCCUGGCUAACUUUUCGUAUUUUUAGUAGAGACAGGAUUUCACCAUGUCGGCCAGCUGUUCACAAACUCCUGGCCUUAAGUGGUCCAUCCGACUUGGCCUCCCAAAGUGCAUAAGCCACCGUGCCUGGCCCCAAACUUCUUUUUCUUUUUUGAGGCUGAGUUUCGCUCUUGUUAUCCAGGCUGGAGUGCAAUGGCGCCAUCUCAGCUCACCGCAACCUCCGCCUCCUGGGUUCAAACAAUUCUCCUGCCUCAGCCUCCCGAGUAGCUGGGAUUACAGGCACACGCCACCAUGCCCAGCUAAUUUUUGUAUUUUUAGUAGAGACGGGGUUUCACCUCAUUGACCAGGAUGGUCUCGAUCUCUUGACCUCGUGAUCCACCCGCCUUGGCCUCUCAAAGUGCUGGGAUUACAGGCCUGAGCCACCGCGCCCGGCCUGCCGCAAACUUCUUGACGGGUUUUCAGAGCCCUGCAGGAUUUGGUCCCAUCCCCACCUCUCUGGGGCAUGUGUAUGUCUUGCCAGUUCUCCCCUCUGUACUUCAUGCUCAAUCCACUCCCAGCCCUUGGCAUUUCUAGGGGGGCUGUGGGUAACAGGGGUUAGACUUUGGGUCUCCUUGGAAGGCAGAGCCCACGUGAUUUCCUGAUGGAAUGGAUCUGGAGUCUGAAAGAGAGAGGAGUCAAGGAUGAUGUCUUUGGACAGUGCUCUCUUGUCCUCCCAAGACUUUGCACCUGCUGUGCCCAAACCUCAGUUUGCUCAUCUGUAAAAUGAGGCUAAUAAUGGCACCUACUUCAAUAGGUGGUGAGAAGAUGAAAUAAGUCAGUUUAUGCAAAGUGUUCAGAAUGGGGCCUGAUGGUCAAGACUUGAUCAUUGAGAGCUGGUUUUUGUUGUUGUUGUUGUUUUUUGAGACAAAGUCUCGCUCUUGUCUCCCAGGCUGGAGUGCAAUGGUUCCAUCUUGGCUCACUGCAACCUCUGCCUUCCGAGUGCAAGUGAUUCUCCUGACUCAGCCUCCUGAGUAGCUGAGAUUACAGACGUUUUCUUUUUUUGAGACAGAGGCUCACUCUGUCACCCAGGCUGGAGUGCAAUCACAUGAUCUUAGCUCACUGCAACCUCUGCCUCCUGGGUUCAAGCGAUUCUCCUGCCUCAGCCUCUGGAGUAGCUGGAAUUACAGGCGUGUGCCACCAUGUCCCGCUCACCUGUUCUCCAGGACCAGCCCUGCCCUUCUGGCUGGGGCCCAGGCCCAGGCUCUGAGAGGCUGUGUCCCAACCUGCCGUGGCCCCAGAGGAGCUGUGCCGCCACCUGUCCCCCUUCCCUGGCCUGGUGGGGCCUGGCUUUGGGGCAAGACUGAGCCACGGGGGAAGGGGAAUCCGUACCUGCUGCUGCUUCCUCUGUCUUGGCUAACCUCUGUCCCCCUGAACCCCUAACCAUACCCCAAGAGCUCCCAAAGCCUGAGACCAGGGUCAUUUGUCCCCAGUUGCCUGCCUGGCCCCGCUGUUGCUAGUACCUGUUAUUUAUUACCUGGAGGCCUGUCCAGCUCCACCCUACUCCCAUAAAGCAUUGUUUACACCUG